ACUUAUAAGAUUGAUUUAGAAACGGACCCUAAAUACAUUUGAGCCGGAGACGGUUUGGGUUUGUGGACUCGCUAUGAACUAAGGCAUCUCAUACUUCUGCUGUGUAAACAAAGAGAGCUCACACAAACACAAACACAAACACAACACUCUUCUAUUAUGAACAAUGUCUUCCCCAGAUAAACGCCGAGACAUGGAUUUGAUGAAGCUGAUGAUGACUGAUUACAAGGUGGAGAUGAUCAAUGAUGGCAUGCAAGACUUCUUUGUGGAAUUUCAUGGACCCAAAUACAGUCCUUAUCAAGGAGGUGUGUGGAAGAUAAGAGUGGAGCUACCUGAUGCUUAUCUUUAUAAGUCUCCUUCUAUUGGUUUUGUCAACAAAAUUUACCAUCCUAAUGUUGAUGAAAUGUCUGGCUCGGUUUGCUUAGAUGUUAUCAACCAGACAUUGAGUCCGAUGUUCGAUCUUGUUAAUGUGUUCGAAGUGUUUAUUCCUCAACUUCUUAUAUACCCCAAUGCAUCAGAUCCAUUGAAUGGUGAUGCCGCUGCCUUGAUGAUGAGAGACCGUGCUGCAUAUGAACAGAAAGUCAAAGGUCCUUAUCAAGUAGGUGUAUGGAAGAUAAGAGUUGAGCCACCUGAUGCUUAUCCUUAUAAGUGUCCUUCUACUUGAUGGUAAUGUUGAUGAAAUGUGAGUUGUCCAUAGAAACCAAAGCUUCAUUGUUUUCUAAGGGAUGCCAAAGGAGUUUUAAGAAUGAUUUUGUGGGCUCAAUCCUGGAAACUAACAUAACUACUAACUUAAUAACAUUUUUCUAUCCAAAAUAUAAAAAAAUAAAAAUAAGCUUCAAUGUUUUAUAUCAUUAGAUUUGUAACUGAUUCAAUGAAUUUAUAAUUUCAACCGUCCGAUCUCAAAUCUACAGUUGAGAUUAACUACAACAUAGUUUCUCAGCUUCAGUGGAUCCAUGUCUUUUGAUUUAGAAGUUUGCUCUUUAGGCCCCCAAAAUUCUGUUGUUACCCUUAAACUUAGUUCAGAAAUUAUGUUCCAAACUUGAUGUUGGUUUGGAGUGUAGUUUCCAUACCUAUUUUACAAGCUUCCGAACCACCACCAUUACAUGCUCACGAGAUUAAAAUUGCAUCUCCUUCUUUAUCUUAAGCUUUUUCCUCUUAUUUAAGGUUUGCUAUUUCAUUUUUGGUUUAUUUCUUUAUUACAUUAUUAUUCGCCCUCUAAUGUGCAAGAAGGCAGCCACGGAGCUCCCCGGAAGAGGUACACGCACACACGACCCAACCACCUUGAGACGGUGGCUUCAAAAAUGUCUUCUCCAUGUCAGACCCACUUGUUUUGCAUUUUUUAAAUGAAUUUCAUGAUAGUGAGGGUUGAGAUGGUGUACCUUUGAUUUUCUUUUUCUUUCACUUGAUUUUGCUUUGAACAGUGGCUAUCUUCCUUUGACCUUUGACCAAAAAAUCAUCAUUAUAUGACACAGAUAGGGAUGAGAAAAUCACGUGAGCAUGUAAUGGGAGUGGUUCGGAAGCUAAAAUCUGAAAUUUGUCCAUGUGAAAUUGGUUUUGAAAUUACGUUCCGCAGCAACAUCAAGUUCAGAAUGUAAUUUCCGAACUGAGUUUAAGGAUAAAAACGGAAUUUUGGGGGCCUGGGAGUAACUUGGGGGCUUGAGGAGCAACAAUCUUUGAUUUAUUGCAGGUUUGGUUUGACCUAAUUGAUUCGAGCUUUAUUGGACCGGACUAAAAUGGGCCUGCCCACCCAAAUAAAAACCCUAAUGUUUGAUGUUUUUAAUGUCAAAAAAUGUGCUUUUUCAAAAAUGUCAAAAAAUGUGAAUGAGGGUAAGAGAAAUACCCCGAGAGAAGAGGGGGAUUUUAUUCUCAUAAUCUCUCAAACGCUUAGUUAUUUAUUUUGGCAGCUUGGCGCUGUAUUUCUUAUGCUUUUGAAUCAGGCCCGGCCCACACCCACGGCAUCAGGCCUCAAAAUUUCAAGGCCCUAUAAUAAUAGCUGUAUAUUAUCAAUGUUUGUAAAAUAUUAGAUGUCCAUCAAUAGAUUAGUGGCAGACUAUAAUGUUUUUGUGUGUAAGGUCCAUGGUUCAGGUUCAAAUCCCCACAGUGCCAUUUUUUUAAAAAUUUUGUGUUUUUCAUUGAAGGCCCAUUUUUAAUAUUCAACCAGGGCCUCCAUCCAAAUAGUUGGGCCCGGCCCUGUUUUGAGUGAUACCUCAAAUUCAGCUCUCUUUCUCAUUUGCAGAAUUUGAGAUUGAAGAGCAGCACCAGCUAGUACCAACAUUGCCACAAUCAAUUAUCAAUAAUUUUCAGGUUGGCUCAGCAAAACCAAAAGAGUGGCGGUUAACCAAACGGGUGAUGGUUCUUUAUUGGGCACUGAAAACCUAAUCAA